rnacentral:rRNA from 1 species
GCUAAUACCGCAUAACGCCUACGGGCCAAAGAGGGGGACCUUCGGGCCUCUCACGUCAAGAUAUGCCUAGGUGGGAUUAGCUAGUUGGUGAGGUAAUGGCUCACCAAGGCGACGAUCCCUAGCUGGUCUGAGAGGAUGAUCAGCCACACUGGAACUGAGACACGGUCCAGACUCCUACGGGAGGCAGCAGUGGGGAAUAUUGCACAAUGGGCGAAAGCCUGAUGCAGCCAUGCCGCGUGUAUGAAGAAGGCCUUCGGGUUGUAAAGUACUUUCAGUUGUGAGGAAGGGGGUGUCGUUAAUAGCGGCAUCUCUUGACGUUAGCAACAGAAGAAGCACCGGCUAACUCCGUGCCAGCAGCCGCGGUAAUACGGAGGGUGCGAGCGUUAAUCGGAAUUACUGGGCGUAAAGCGCAUGCAGGUGGUUCAUUAAGUCAGAUGUGAAAGCCCGGGGCUCAACCUCGGAACUGCAUUUGAAACUGGUGAACUAGAGUACUGUAGAGGGGGGUAGAAUUUCAGGUGUAGCGGUGAAAUGCGUAGAGAUCUGAAGGAAUACCAGUGGCGAAGGCGGCCCCCUGGA